rnacentral:ribozyme from 1 species
UCAUCUUAUCAUCUCAAAUUAACAAAAUAACAGAAAUCGAUGGGAGGCCGGUAACGGCAGAGACCUUCCCAGAGGUGUACCAGCGGACGAUGGUGCCGCUCAGUAUGAAGUUCCGGAGGCCGAAGCCAGGGGGUUGCGACGGGUGCACUUGC